rnacentral:tRNA from 1 species
GUCGGCGUGGGGCGGGCCGGUCGCGCCGGGGUUCGCUCCGCCGGGGUGGAGCCCGUACCCGGGCGUUCCGAACGUCCCGCCGACUC